GGAGGAUCCAAGCGUUAUCCGGAUUUAUUGGGUUUAAAGGGUGCGUAGGCGGUUUGAUAAGUUAGAGGUGAAAUACCGGUGCUUAACACCGGAACUGCCUCUAAUACUGUUGAACUAGAGAGUAGUUGCGGUAGGCGGAAUGUAUGGUGUAGCGGUGAAAUGCUUAGAGAUCAUACAGAACACCGAUUGCGAAGGCAGCUUACCAAACUAUAUCUGACGUUGAGGCACGAAAGCGUGGGGAGCAAACAGGAUUAGAUACCCUGGUAGUCCACGCAGUAAACGAUGAUAACUCGCUGUCGGCGAUACACAGUCGGCGGCUAAGCGAAAGCGAUAAGUUAUCCACCUGGGGAGU
rnacentral:rRNA from 1 species